rnacentral:rRNA from 1 species
AUUGAACGCUGGCGGCAGGCCUAACACAUGCAAGUCGAGCGGAGCGGCGGACGGGUGAGUAAUGCCUAGGAAUCUGCCUGGUAGUGGGGGAUACCGUCCGGAAACGGGCGCUAAUACCGCAUACUAUCAGAUGAGCCUAGGGCGGAUUAGCUAGUUGGUGGGGUAAAGGCCUACAAAAGCGACGAUCCGUAACUGGUCUGCGAGGAUGAUCAGGCACACUGGAACAGAGACACGGUACAGAAUCCUACGUGAGGCAGCAGGGGGGAAAAUUGGAAAAUGGGCGAAAGCCUGAUCCAGCCAUGCCGCGUGUGUGAAGAAGGUCUUCGGAUUGUAAAGCACUGUAAGUUGGGAGGCGUUACCAACAGAAUAAGCACCGGCUAACUUCGUGCCAGCAGCCGCGGUAAUAC